GAAUUAAAUAAAAUUAAGCUUCUAACUUAAUUAUUAGCAAUUAUGUUAUUAAUUCU
rnacentral:tRNA from 1 species